UGCCCCAGUCAGGCCUCAGAUGAGACCCCAGCCCUGGCCAACCCCUCGACUGAAGCCCUGCAGAGAGUCAGGCUCAGACUCCUUUGAGAAACUGAAGCAUAAAUGAGCAUUGUUUUAAGAUGAUAUUUUAUUGUGAUGCAGCUCAUAUAAGAUCUAUAGGUGAAGAGUCUUGUAUGGGAUGGUUAGGGGACAUGAAAACGUAUAAGGAACUCAGCACUUCACGAGCUCCCUGGCAGUGAAGGUGAGAAAGGAAACUCAGCAAGUUUUCACCAUUUGACAACAGGAAAUAAAUCUUUCUAAAGAGGCCACUUGGCUCGUGAUUCUAAGAAGAACUUGUCAUGUGGGCAACAGAAUCUACAACCAGAGCGUAGUGUCUGUAGGGCCUGGACCUACUGCAGUUCAAGAUCCUUCCUCAUCCAGCCUUCCUUCCUGCCCGAGCUCUUGGCACAUUGCAUCCUCCUCUUUGCUGCCCUCUUCCGGGACUGCCCUUCUCCCUUUUCUGCCUGUUGACUCCCACAUUCAAGGACCAGCUUGGUCCUGUGGCCUCUUCUGCAAAGGCUUCCUCAGUUCCCUAGCAGAAAUAACUCUUUCCUCCUGAUCUCCCAAAUCUGUGUUAUCAAGACAUCAUGUCAUAUUUUUAACUUCUGAUUUAUUUUUUAUUGAGCACCUACUAAAUGCUAGGCCUCCUGUUGGGUGCAAAAGAUAGAGUCACAAAUAACAGCAGCAGGCUCUCCUUAGGGCCUAUAGCCUGGCCCCUCCUCUCCUCUUUUUGGGGCCAGUUCCUCUCUGCAUCCUCGGAGCUCAGCCCGGCAGACAGCAGCCACGAGUCUCCAUGUUGGUUAAAUCCUUGGGAUUUAGUGACUUGAAUUUUAGCCUGACAUCUUGGCCUGACUUUGGGUUGUAGAAGGACCACUCAGCACUCUGUCCAUCCUAGGGGCCCUGCCUCUGCCCAGCCCCCAUCUCCAUUCCCCCGGAUGUUGCUGCACUGAGGCCACCGCGAUGACACAUUUCCAGGCUCUGAUCUCUUCCUCAACCCGACAGCUCGGCCCAGGCAGUUUCCAGCUGAUGGUAUGGGAUUAAUAAAGACUGUAGGAAGCCUUUGUUCUUAAAAAAGAAAGUCCUCUUUUUAAAAAAGAGUGAUGUGCAUAAUAAAAAAAUUCAAAAAGCAAAAGAGAAACUCUCUCCUAUACCCUUGCUCUCUAGUUCCACUCUGCACAGGUGAGUAUUUUGGGUUUCCUGUUUCUUCCAAAUAUUUUCUAAGCACUACUCUGCCACCC
ensembl:lncRNA